UGGUUUAAAAUGUUAAAUAAUUACAUUUUGUCCACCAAUAAUGCUGAAGUAAAAGUAAAGACUUUUUAUUGGACCAACAGGACUCCACGGUGACAUCAGUGUGAAUUUUUCUGAGCAUCUUUAUGGUUUCAUGCAGAGAAAGAGAAUCACAGAUUCAAUAUUUGUUUUAAGGAUGUUUCUGGAGAAGAGCAGAGAAGAUCAAAGGGAGCUGCUUUGUGUUUUUGCACAUCUAGAGAAAGUCUAUGACAAAGACAAGAGUUUGGCUGUUUUUAACAACUGCAUUUCUUUUACCACAAUUAACCAACACAAAUGCGUCACAACCACAAACCUUCUGCAUCAAAACGUUGCCACAUGUUUGCUCCACAGAAUGCUGCUGGUUUCUCUUUAGCUAACAUUGAGCUGCUGCAUCGCACGAGAAACUUAGGUCUCAAAAGAUACAACACUUAAAUAGAAAUGAUAGUUUUAGAACAACAAUCUGUAUUAAUGUACAUUAUUUUAAUCUACAACAGUUCUCAUGUUUGUUAGCAUUAGUUUGUCAGGAACUAAUGCUAAGAUCUGUGUCUUACUUUAACAAAAGUUGUUUAAACUGUUGCGGCUGCACCACUAAAACUUCUGCAUCUUCCAAGAUCUUUCUAUGAAGACACAGAAAACCAAAAUCUGUACAGAUAAAAAUGAACAUGACUUUAAACUGUUACAUCAAAGUUUUAAAAUGUACUUUAACACCUAGCAAAGCAGCAUCUAACCACUUCCUUUUUCUCAGUCCCUCCUCCAAACAUGUAUCAGAAACCAAAGCUUGCUGUUCCAGUUUGUCUUCUGUUCUCUGAUGGUCAUCAUGUUCUGGAGGAACACAGCAGUUCUGCUCCUGAUCCAGAUGUUUCAGGCUCAGCGUGUCUUUGCAGCUGCACCGUUACCUGAACACAGAAGCAUGAAGGUUUCCAGAGGAGAUUCAGUGACUUUAACUUGUAAUGUGUCACUGGAAAACACAGCAGAAAUCAAAUGGACCAAAGACAAUUUAUCAUUUCAUCAUUCCAUCACUCUCAAUGCCACUGUUUCAAAUUUCUCUUCUUGUAAGAUCAGAAUAGAGACAGACCUUCCUACAAAGUUAAUGAUACUGAACGUUCAAGAUAAAGAUCAGGGACUUUAUAGUUGUAGUCUAACUGACAGUAAAGGAUUUAAAGAAAUUACAUGGAAUCUAACUGUGUUUGAAGAAGUUAAAGGUAUGUAUGUUAAGACAGGAAAAGGUUUACGUAAAGGAAUUUACCUGAAGGCAACUUAAAACCAUCAAUAUUACUUUUUUAUUUAUAUUCAUUUCAGACGCCCAUUAUUCAGAUUUUUGGAUUUAUUCUUCUGUAACAUUAUUGAUUGGAGCAGGAUUUCUUCUGUGUUGCAUAAUUUUAGUCGUCUGCUUCCACAGAAAAUGUGGAAGAAGAGCAGAGUCUCAGUGAGACGAGAUCAUCCUUCUCUGCAGUUUCCACUCUAAGCCUCUGUGUUGAUGCUGAAAACACAAUAGAAGAAGAUGACAGAAGAGAACAUGGAGACGGAGGAAAGGAGUUGGAUCACCAAACAGCAGAGAGGGAGUUUUGGACUUUACAAACUGCUUUGUUUGGUUAAAGGAUCUAUAUCAUACAAAGUCAACUGUUGUGCUUUUACGUGUUUUAUAAUGUUCAUUUUGUAUUACAAUGUUUCUCCACACGGAGGGAAAAGCCGUGCCUCAGACAUGGAGUCGUCUCACUUCCUGGUUUUGAAAUGAAUUUACGAAAAUAAUUCAUAUUUCUUUAAAAAAUGUUCUUUAGUGCACCAAAUGGAAUAUAUUAUUAUAUAUAUGGAUUCAGUUUACUCUAAAAUGCUUAAGAAAAUCAUGAUAUAGGCCCUUUACAUGUAAUAUGUGAUAUAAAGACACGGUGAUCAAGUAUAUAAGAAGAAAACUUUUAAUAUCAAAAAUUAAAUACAUUUUUUUAAGGCUGCCCUUUUUCACUCCUGAGCCAUCUGCUGACCAAACUAACAAGUACAAUAAAUCAGAGGGGUGGGUUGCUGUGAGCCAAACCUCAUUACAUGUAUGUUAAAAUAUAUUAAAGGAUUACUGUCAUUUGGAUUACAGUAUGACUGUAACAC